GAAUUCCCAGUCAGAAGAUGAUUCAUUUCACAUUCCUGUAUAGUCCUGAUCUCAUUCUCCUGACAUUGCUAACUAGGAUGCUGAGGAAUUUUAUGUGCUUGGUGGAGAUGGAAAAGGAAGAAAAGCAAGCUGGCCUCCUGAAGAAAGAAGGCAGCAAAUAUUUAAUGGAACUUCUUUUCUGUGAAAGCAUGUUUUGAGUGUUCCUCCUAGACAUCGUCCACAAAUAUCCUAGAUAACAGCUGAUUGCUAUGAUUGGAAACCUGGCUCAUCAAACAGUGUACACUGGGAGAAGCCUGCCUAGGAUAAUAAAUUUUCUUUUGUUUCUGAAAGUCUCUAAGAA
rnacentral:lncRNA from 1 species